rnacentral:rRNA from 1 species
AGUGAACGCUGGCGGUAGGCCUAACACAUGCAAGUCGAACGGCAGCACAGUAAGAGCUUGCUCUUACGGGUGGCGAGUGGCGGACGGGUGAGGAAUACAUCGGAAUCUACUUUUUCGUGGGGGAUAACGUAGGGAAACUUACGCUAAUACCGCAUACGACCUACGGGUGAAAGCAGGGGAUCUUCGGACCUUGCGCGAUUGAAUGAGCCGAUGUCGGAUUAGCUAGUUGGCGGGGUAAAGGCCCACCAAGGCGGCGAUCCGUAGCUGGUCUGAGAGGAUGAUCAGCCACACUGGAACUGAGACACGGUCCAGACGCCUACGGGAGGCAGCAGUGGGGAAUAUUGGACAAUGGGCGCAAGCCUGAUCCAGCCAUACCGCGUGGGUGAAGAAGGCCUUCGGGUUGUAAAGCCCUUUUGUUGGGGAAGAAAAGCAGCAGGUUAAUACCCCGCUGUUCUGACGGUACCCAAAGAAUAAGCACCGGCUAACUUCGUG